AGCGAUCUCCAUGGAGACAAACAUCGAACUCACUCCCUCCAGUUUGUAAAACUGAAUGUGAAUGGCCAUUCCAAAUCGGCUGUCUUAAUCCACUCAGAGCAGCAGGAAGUAUUUAACUGUUCAACAUAUUAAAUGAACAAAAAAAUACAGAUUUCAGGUUAAAGUGCCUGAUGGCUGCCACUGGCAUUGCCACUUCUGAUCUUGUUCUCAUUUGCGAACUCCCAGCUUUUUGUCUGGCUUUGGGAGCCUGGUUGGGCCUCCAGCUCUGGCCUUCUAUGUCUGCUGCCAGCUCUGAAGUUCUGAUGGGAUCCGUGUCAGGUUGUGAGCCACAGGAAGCGUGUCAACCAUGUCAAACCAGAAGAUCAAGAAAUCAAAGAUUCCAUUCGCUUGCCUUAGAGUUUGAGGAAAGAAGAUGCAACAAAGCAAGACUCCUUCCUCCAUGGAAUGUGCUGAUUUCAGACGAGGCGGCAGCCAAUGUGGAAAACGCUGGAAUUUUUCCUUGGAACUGGACUGUGAUGAGAGAUGCUUGCCAUGAACAUAGCUACUGUCUUUUCUUUGACCUUCCUUUCCAGUUUUUGAAGAUAAAGCAAGAAACAAUCUUCUCUGAAGAUACUUGAUAAAAAUUCCCCCCCAAAAAACAAAAACACAUGCUUCCAUUUCAUUGAUAAAAAUGAAUGGGUCUAGUUCAGCAGGGGGAAGAGCUGAUUGAUGCGUUUGCCCCAAUAGCCAGAUAUGCCCAUCCCCUUGAGGAUGCUCACUCUAUUUUUGGUAGCAUGGCAGGCCACUGAGAGGUGGAAAGGGUGCAAGAACCAUGAGAUCUCCUGGAAAUGCUUCCCUGGGAAGGCAAUUUCAUGAAUGAGGUCUUCCAAGCAAAUGACACCAACCUUCCCCAGAUGCUCCUCAAUCACUGUGUUAUCUGUCAGACGGAUGGUCUUACUCUUGACCUGGGCUUGUCCACGUUUCAAAAUGAGUUCCCGGUCACACAAUUUGGAAAUCCCCAGGUCACACAACGUUCCACUAUAUACAGCAUUUUUAGGUUCUGGGGGGCGACUUUUACAAAGACACCACUAAAAAUUUUCUUUAGGCGAAGUCUUGCAAUGGUUCUCUGCACCAGUAAACUCACGCCAUCAAUCCUUUUGAUGCAUACAACAAAGGCCUAGGAAUGUUUAUCUGGUGAUUCCAAGGCGUGAGGUUUCACUUCUAGUCGUCUGAGACUCACCUUGUCACGUUUCUGCUGCCAGGAAUCAUAUAGGAAUAAUUCCAGUCGCUUAAACCUGGCCCUUUUCCUUUCCUCUGCUCCUUCUUUGCCAAAAGUGCCUGCUUUGACUGGAUGGCUUUGGGAGCUUGAUAAGCCUUCCUCUUUUUCAGGAGAUUUUCUGGAGCCAAAGGGAUUUUUCUUUGCUCUUGGUCCCCCAUCUUUCUAGUGUUGCAGCUACUCUAGAUUUUUUCAUAAUACAAAGUUAAGAAAACUAUAUUUAGACAAACUUAUUCUAGAUGAGAAAAACCAAGACCCAAACAUCACAAAGCUAACAAAACGGAGACUGGGACUAGAAGGCAAGUCCUCUGUCUCCCAUUGACAUUCUCUUUCUGGUAAACCAUGUAUCAGUUCAGCUUGUUGUGCUCUCCCUGUAGACUUAAUUUUUGUCACCAUCAUCCUGGUAAUAAUAACUUCAACAUGCAAAGGCCAUUAACAAUUCUAGUCUACUUCCAAUCUAACUUUACCAUCCCCUGUGAUUUUAAUAAGCAUAAAAAUUUCCCUACUCCAGGUAACUAUCAAAAGAGAAAACAAUGUUGAUGUAUCUCUUUGUUCUAGCAUUCUUUGGAACCAAAAUAAAGGAUUGUUAGGGAAAAAAACCCAGACAAACAUAUGUGCAAGGAAUUUCAAAAAAGGAAUAGUCACUAAACAUAUUUAAACUUUUAAACAAGAAAUUGCACACUGCAACAGAAUCUAAAUAAUAUCCCAGAAGUAAUUACUAAUUUAAGUGUGUAAUGAAAUGAUAAAAUGCUUUGAUAGAGCUCUGGCCUGCGGAGUCUCUGUGAUACAUCCAGCAUCUUGGCAGCCAUCCAAGGCCCAGAGUGGCUUUGAGUUUGGAAUAUUUAUUUCAUCAGGAGCCAGGACCACCUCAGGAAGUCACCUGUGCCCAGAUCACUCAGAGUUACGUGGUUUUAUUCAUGUUCCCCUGGAAAAAGAAACAGUGAGCAUUUCUUCAUUUGAAGGAAAGGAAUAGGGGUUGGUCUGAAGAAGGGAGGAGAAGGAGAAUUACGUGUGUAUGGGUGGCUGAGAGUGGGUGUGGGAGGAAAUAGUUGGGGAGUUUACUCAUUCAGGUAACCCUAAGGUAAAUACCGUGAAAUGGUUAGCAGCAAACUGUCAGAGUAGUGUAGCUGGAAUACAAAUGUGUUAGUAGGAAGCAUUAAGUCAGGUGAUUUACUCAGGUGAGGAGAAGUACUGCAGGGUGAGCCCUAACUAGGAAGUUGCCUUCCUGUUCAGAACCGGGGGAGAUUAUGAGUGAGAUAGUUCUAAAACCAGUGAGUGCCAUAAGGCAGAAUUUCUAAACUAAUGUGGAAUUCAAAUGGCACUCACUUCUUUAAAUAGGUUUCAAAACGUUUUGGAUUAGGUUUAAGACAGCUCCUUUAAGUGAUUUGUAUUUCAUAGACAAGCCACAAGCAUUCUGUCCAUUUUUCCCCAAUCAGAAUUAAUUCUCCCUGCUCAUAAGAUGCAUGUCAUCAGCAUAAAAUUAUUCUCCUCCCCAUACUUUUCUGAUUGUGGCCUCCAAUUCCCAAGGUGAUUUAAAACUUAUAAAAAGAGGUUCAUAUUAACGAUGGAUUUCAAUUUUAAACAAGCUUCUCAGUGAGAACCAGUGUGACAUGAAAGCAUACUUCCAAGUGAAUUGUGUAUUCAUUUAAAGUUUAGGAAAAAAAUAAAAACAAACCCUGCUUUACUCCCACCCAGCGUGUAACUCCAGGUCACCACCCCUGGAACAUUGUGCCUUUGAGCUUUGGACUGGAUUUGCUUCUGAGGUUAAGAGAAGUGUGUGGCAGAUGUUGGGAG
ensembl:lncRNA